GGAGAGGUGGCAGAGUGGCCGAAUGCGCCGGUUUGCUAAAUCGGUGUAGGGUUUUAAUCCUACCGGGGGUUCGAAUCCCCCCCUCUCCGC
rnacentral:tRNA from 1 species